GUUCCGGAACGCCGCGGCCCAGGGCUGCCACCUCCGCGGGGAACACCCUUGCUCUGCCCAGCUGGCGGGAGCAUCAUCUGCCCCCCCGCCACCCAGCCGGGAGCCCGAUCCGACUCAGGAUUACACUGACAUCACUGCGAGAGAUGCUGGGAUCAUUCCCCGGGGGAGGGAAGGAAAGACGCGUGUCAGCCUCGCAGUCGCGGCGCUUUCUGCAGGCCCUGGCAAGCUUUUUUGCACUAGUUUGGGGGGAGCGGGAGAGUGUGGAUGAGGAUGCAGCAUAGCUGGGCAUCUUCUUUGAAAAUCUACCCGUUGGAAGGUCCGGGUAUUUAAUUAGGACCUCUUCAUCCCAAGCAGCAGGGCGAGAAUGUCCCAAAAUAACUAACCCAGAGAGUACACUCCAGCCUUCCUAGCCAAGUGUCCUGAGGCUACGUUAACAGGCAGAACUAAAUCUAGUAAAGUGCAGGGAUUAAUGAACAAACAGUUAAAGCAACAAGAUCCCUCACCUACACCCCCAUUUCUGAGGCGGACGCCCCUUUCCCUGGAGAAAAAAUUUGUCCUCCUAAAGAGGGGAUGUCCUGAAGAGAAGACGGCAAAUCAUUCCUUCUGAAGGACUCUGAUGUCUCAGCUUGCUGGGCUUUUGCUUUUUUUUUUUUUUUUUUUUUUUUUUAACCUGUUUUGGUUUACCCCUACUGUAACUCCUGAAAUGUGAAACCUAGAUAAAAGUUACUGCUGGGUUUUCUUGUUCAAAGAAGAGAAGAGAUUCUGUUCAUCUGUAGACAGUUAAUGCAUCCUCUUGACUUCUCAGGGUGUCUUUUCUCAAGGCUUGCUGUUACUCAUUUCAACACCCGAUUUUAUUUUAACGGUAAAGAGCUCAACAGUUAUCUUAGUUGAAAUUUUGUUUUGUUUUUGACAAAUGAAAACAAAUGAAUUGCUUUGUUUUUUCACAAAUGAAUUAUCACAUCAAAUGCAAUGAAGAUCCCAAGCUCUGGCAUCAGACUUGAUUCAAAUCCUGGUUCUAGGGCCUGGGUCAAGUAACUAGACUUUUCUGUUCCUUCAAUUCCUCAUCUAUGAAAUGAAGAUAAUCAAGACCUACCUCUUAAUAUAGCGGUGGAUCGAAUGUGCUAUGAUGAUGGAGGAUUUCUCACUGUGAGAGAAGUGAGCCACCAGAUAGAGAGGACACUCAAACAGCCCCAUGCAGAGGCCAAUAUAGAAAGGAUAAAAUAGCCAGCAUCAACUUACCGGCUUUGUAAGAGAGCCUUUAUAACUGAAUCCACUGCCCCGGUCAAGCCUUCAGAUGACUGCAGCUCUAGCCUACAUCUGGCUGCAAUCUCAGGUGUUCAGAUCAAGGGAAACUACUCUAAGAGGCUACACUUGAGGAACAACAACCAAGGAGCUUCAACUGCAUCUGGAUUUCAGGAGUCUGGAAAACUUUUCUUUUGAGCUAUUGACAGCCUUUAACAACUGAGUAAAGUGUACUCCUGUGAACAAAAUUCAGAGCCUGUUUGUUUCUCUCUACCUGAUUUCUCCAGAAUUUGGAAACUAUUUGUGAGUAUUCUUAACUUAUGGAAACAUAGUUAUUUGCAUAAGUGCAAUAAGAAUCUGUUUUCAUUUGUAACAGGACACAAUUGGAAAAACUGGUUAUUUUACCAAGGCUUUUACUGGAAUGGUGUGCUUUCUUUUAAGGAAUCAAACUUGACUUAUAGAGCCAAUAAAAGCCCCUUGGAAACACUGGCCUUAUACAUUGUCUACACAGUCUCUGUGUAGGGUUCCUAACCUGUGAGUAAAGAAUGUCACUUUUUAACAGUCCCAGGAGCCCCCAAGUUAUCUUGGGACCUGAAUAGGAAAGGAAUUUACCCAAUAAUAGAUAUUUGAGUGUACAAACCCAUGGCUGGGCUCAGCUUCAGAAAAAAGUCUUAUCUGAGAUUCCUUAUAGAACAGAGUUCCAUCAAAGCCAAUUUAAAAAGCCUAUGUGAAAAAUAAUUAUUCUUGCUGCACUUUGUAUGAAUAAUCAGGCCAAGUAUAAUAAAGUAAAUCAGUCUUACAGUGAUUUGUCUUUAGUAAAAAUGGGAAACUGGAGAGAGAAAAAAAUUGUUUCAAGAACUAUGGUACAACUGUUACUAGAUUCUAGUCUCAUUCACUGUUUUUGAAUUUUUUUCUGCAAUUUAGACUGACUCUUCUUAUUUCUGUUAACCAACCAGUGAUCUCUGGCUGCUGCUCAGAAGAACUAAGAAGGAUGGGUAAUAUAAAAUCCAGAUCAAUAUUCUUAUUCUGGGCACAUAUUGGAAUCAGCUAACAACCCCAUAUCAGUUUGGUUCCAACAAUUGCCCAGUUCAUGGAAAGCCUCUAAUUUUGUUUAUUUGGGAUGAUUUUGCUUAUUUUGCUUUACUAUUGUGGAAUAUAUUGCUGUUGUACUCUUUGUGUAGGAAUGCAGGAUAUGCUUGCUGAAUGUUUUCUUAAAUUGAACCCUUAUUCCUCUUCCAGGUACCAUCUUUUGUUGGAACUCAGUUACAAAUAACCCUCACCAUACCAGCACUUUCUGAAUGAGCUCCUCUCUACCCUGAAGGCAAAAGACCCAAUAGUUAGGCUGGAAUAUUAUCACCCCUAUUCAGCCUGAAGAAGUUACAGAAAAUGGAUCUUCAUCUGUCUACAACCCUUAGGAUUAAGUGUUCUCUUAUAAUAGGGAGGGGGGAAUUGUCAGAGGCAUUUGAAUCAAAGCAACUCCAUUUCACACAGGGGCUAAGUGAAAUAAGGCUAAGACCUACUAGGCUGCAUUCCCAGGAGGUUAAGACAUUCUAAGUCACAGGAUGAGACAGGAGAGCGGCAUAAGAUGCAGGUCAGAAAGAUCUUGUGGAUAAAACAGGUUGCAGUAAAGAAGCCAGCCAAAACAUCAAAACCAAGAUGGCGACAAAAGUGACUUCUGGUCGUCUGCACUGCUACAUUCCCGCCAGCACCACGGCAGUUUACAAAUGCCAUGGCAAUGUCAGGAGGUUGCCCUACAUGUUCUAAAAUGGGGAGGAACCCUCAGUUCCAGGAAUUGCCCACCCCUUUCCUGGAAAACUCAUGAAUAAUCCACCCUUUGUUUAGCAUAUAAACAAGAAAUAACCAUAAAAAUGGGCAACUAGGUGUGCACCACUGCUCUUCUUAUGGAGUAGCCAUUCUUUCAUUCCUUUACUUUCAUAAUAAACUUGCUUUCACUUAAAAAAAAACUUGACCCUUACCUUAUGCCAUGUAUAAAAAUUAACUCACAAUGAAUCAGGAGGUAUUCCUUUUUCCUGACUGCCUUUGAACUGGGACAUCAUUUUUUUCCCUGUCUUCAGACUUGAACUGAAACAUCAGCUUUUCUUGAGUCUCAACCUGCUGUUCUUUGGACUAGAACUGCACCAUUGGCUCUCUUGGGUUUCCAGCUUAACAACUGUAGAUCUUGGAACUUGGCAGCUUUCAUAAAUACAUGAGUUAAUUUCUUAAAAUAAAUAUAUUCAUAUGUAUGUAUAUAAAAUACAUAUCUAUCUAUCUAUCUAUCUAUCUAUCUAUCUAUCUAUCUAUCUAUCUUCUAUUGAUUUUUUUUUCUCUGGAGAACCCUGACUAGUACAGCUACAUAUAGUGUGGUAUUGGUGUUAAAGAUCAAUAAAGCAGCAUGCAGAAUUCAAAACAAAACAUAUAUAGAAUUAACUGCCAACAAACAUGACAAAGUAGUCUACAUAGAAAAGGGUAGUUUUUUCCCCCAAAUGUUGCUGAUAACAAUUGUAUUUUCACAUAAAAAUUGACAGUUGACACAACUCGUGCUGUACGAAAAAAAGUUAACUUGUAAACAAAAAAUUAACUUGUAGUGGAUUAUAGACCUAAAUAUAAAAGCUAAAACCAUAAAACUUCUAGAAGAUAAUAUUGGAUAAAAUAUUCACAAACUUGGAGUGGGCAAAGAUUUCUUAAAACACAAAAAUCACUAACCAUUAAAAAAUCCCAAACCUCAGCAUCACACCAUAUACCCAAGUAAAAAAGCUGCACAUGUACCCACUUAAUCUAAAAUAAAAGUUGAAAAAAAUAAUAAUUUAAAAAAUUUGAAAAAUAAAAGUAAAAUAAAAUAGACAUUUGAGUCUUGAAGGACGGCAUUAAGAAACUGUAAAGGCAAACUAUAUUAAUAAAGAAAGUAUUAAUAAUGCAUAUGGAACAGGAGAGUUUCCUGACCUCUUCUUGGGACUUGUGACAAGAGUGUGGCUUGCUUGCUCUGCCACCACACAUUCAAACACCUUACAGGAAGGGGAGCAUACAGAUGGGCAGGUGCAGGAGCUGGGGUGAGCGCUUUUGGGCUCCUGCCCCAUGGUAGCAUCUAGGAGUAUGUUAUGAUUAAUGCUCUUUUAGCAGUUACCAUCUGUGUAUGGCUAAAUGUUAAACCAGCUCAGUGGAGUGUCAGG
rnacentral:lncRNA from 1 species